UCCUGGCUGCUCAGAUGGUAGAGAAUCUGCUUGCAAUGUAGGAGACCCAGGUUCGAUCCCUGGGUUGGGAA
rnacentral:tRNA from 1 species